rnacentral:rRNA from 1 species
GGUUAAGCGACUAAGCGUACACGGUGGAUGCCCUGGCAGUCAGAGGCGAUGAAGGACGUGCUAAUCUGCGAAAAGCGUCGGUAAGGUGAUAUGAACCGUUAUAACCGGCGAUGUCCGAAUGGGGAAACCCAGUGCAAUUCGUUGCACUAUCGUUAACUGAAUACAUAGGUUAACGAGGCGAACCGGGGGAACUGAAACAUCUAAGUACCCCGAGGAAAAGAAAUCAACCGAGAUUCCCCCAGUAGCGGCGAGCGAACGGGGAGCAGCCCAGAGUCUGAAUCAGCUUGUGUGUUAGUGGAACGGUCUGGAAAGUCCGACGGUACAGGGUGAUAGUCCCGUACACCAAAAUGCACAGGCUGUGAACUCGAAGAGUAGGGCGGGACACGUGGUAUCCUGUCUGAAUAUGGGGGGACCAUCCUCCAAGGCUAAAUACUCCUGACUGACCGAUAGUGAACCAGUACCGUGAGGGAAAGGCGAAAAGAACCCCGGCGAGGGGAGUGAAAAAGAACCUGAAACCGUGUACGUACAAGCAGUGGGAGCACCUUCGGGUGUGACUGCGUACCUUUUGUAUAAUGGGUCAGCGACUUAUAUUCUGUAGCAAGGUUAACCGUAUAGGGGAGCCGCAGGGAAACCGAGUCUUAACUGGGCGUUAAGUUGCAGGGUAUAGACCCGAAACCCGGUGAUCUAGCCAUGGGCAGGUUGAAGGUUGGGUAACACUAACUGGAGGACCGAACCGACUAAUGUUGAAAAAUUAGCGGAUGACUUGUGGCUGGGGGUGAAAGGCCAAUCAAACCGGGAGAUAGCUGGUUCUCCCCGAAAGCUAUUUAGGUAGCGCCUCGUGAACUCAUCUUCGGGGGUAGAGCACUGUUUCGGCUAGGGGGUCAUCCCGACUUACCAACCCGAUGCAAACUACGAAUACCGAAGAAUGUUAUCACGGGAGACACACGGCGGGUGCUAACGUCCGUCGUGAAGAGGGAAACAACCCAGACCGCCAGCUAAGGUCCCAAAGUCAUGGUUAAGUGGGAAACGAUGUGGGAAGGCACAGACAGCCAGGAUGUUGGCUUAGAAGCAGCCAUCAUUUAAAGAAAGCGUAAUAGCUCACUGGUCGAGUCGGCCUGCGCGGAAGAUGUAACGGGGCUAAACCAUGCACCGAAGCUGCGGCAGCGACACUAUGUGUUGUUGGGUAGGGGAGCGUUCUGUAAGCCUGCGAAGGUGACCUGUGAGGGUUGCUGGAGGUAUCAGAAGUGCGAAUGCUGACAUAAGUAACGAUAAAGCGGGUGAAAAGCCCGCUCGCCGGAAGACCAAGGGUUCCUGUCCAACGUUAAUCGGGGCAGGGUGAGUCGACCCCUAAGGCGAGGCCGAAAGGCGUAGUCGAUGGGAAACAGGUUAAUAUUCCUGUACUUGGUGUUACUGCGAAGGGGGGACGGAGAAGGCUAUGUUAGCCGGGCGACGGUUGUCCCGGUUUAAGCAUGUAGGCUGGUUGUCCAGGCAAAUCCGGAUAAUCAAGGCUGAGGUGUGAUGACGAGGCACUACGGUGCUGAAGUAACAAAUGCCCUGCUUCCAGGAAAAGCCUCUAAGCAUCAGGUAACAUUAAAUCGUACCCCAAACCGACACAGGUGGUCAGGUAGAGAAUACCAAGGCGCUUGAGAGAACUCGGGUGAAGGAACUAGGCAAAAUGGUGCCGUAACUUCGGGAGAAGGCACGCUGGUGUGUAGGUGAAGUCCCUGCGGAUGGAGCUGAGACCAGUCGAAGAUACCAGCUGGCUGCAACUGUUUAUUAAAAACACAGCACUGUGCAAACACGAAAGUGGACGUAUACGGUGUGACGCCUGCCCGGUGCCGGAAGGUUAAUUGAUGGGGUUAUCCGUAAGGAGAAGCUCUUGAUCGAAGCCCCGGUAAACGGCGGCCGUAACUAUAACGGUCCUAAGGUAGCGAAAUUCCUUGUCGGGUAAGUUCCGACCUGCACGAAUGGCGUAAUGAUGGCCAGGCUGUCUCCACCCGAGACUCAGUGAAAUUGAACUCGCUGUGAAGAUGCAGUGUACCCGCGGCAAGACGGAAAGACCCCGUGAACCUUUACUAUAGCUUGACACUGAACAUUGAGCCUUGAUGUGUAGGAUAGGUGGGAGGCUUUGAAGCGUGGACGCCAGUCUGCGUGGAGCCAACCUUGAAAUACCACCCUUUAAUGUUUGAUGUUCUAACGUUGGCCCCUGACCGGGGUUGCGGACAGUGUCUGGUGGGUAGUUUGACUGGGGCGGUCUCCUCCCAAAGCGUAACGGAGGAGCACGAAGGUUAGCUAAUCCUGGUCGGACAUCAGGAGGUUAGUGCAAUGGCAUAAGCUAGCUUGACUGCGAGCGUGACGGCGCGAGCAGGUGCGAAAGCAGGUCAUAGUGAUCCGGUGGUUCUGAAUGGAAGGGCCAUCGCUCAACGGAUAAAAGGUACUCCGGGGAUAACAGGCUGAUACCGCCCAAGAGUUCAUAUCGACGGCGGUGUUUGGCACCUCGAUGUCGGCUCAUCACAUCCUGGGGCUGAAGUAGGUCCCAAGGGUAUGGCUGUUCGCCAUUUAAAGUGGUACGCGAGCUGGGUUUAGAACGUCGUGAGACAGUUCGGUCCCUAUCUGCCGUGGGCGCUGGAGAAUUGAGGGGGGCUGCUCCUAGUACGAGAGGACCGGAGUGGACGCAUCACUGGUGUUCGGGUUGUCAUGCCAAUGGCACUGCCCGGUAGCUAAAUGCGGAAGAGAUAAGUGCUGAAAGCAUCUAAGCACGAAACUUGCCCCGAGAUGAGUUCUCCCUGAGACUUUAAGUCUCCUGAAGGAACGUUAAAGACGAUGACGUUGAUAGGCCGGGUGUGUAAGCGCAGCGAUGCGUUGAGCUAACCGGUACUAAUGAACCGUGAGGCUUAACCUU